UUACGCUGUUAUCCCUAAGGUAACUUAGUCUAAUAAUCAAUAAUAAUGGAUCUAAUAUUCAUAAAUCAAUGUUAAAUAAAUAAAAAAGUUAAUUAUAUAUUUUUGUCACCCCAACAAAACAUAAAAAAAUAUAAAAAUAUUCAUAUAUAACAGUUUAUAUUAUAUUAUGUAAAGAUCUAUAGGGUCUUCUCGUCUUCCAACAGAAUUUUAGCUUUUUAACUAAAAGAUUAAAUUUUAAAACAAAUAAAAUGAGACAGUCAAUUCCUCGUUAAACCUUUCAUUCCAGCCCUCUAUUAAAAGACUAAUGAUUAUGCUACCUUUGCACGGUCAGUAUACCGCGGCCGUUAAAUCCUCACUGGGCAGGUCAGACCUUCAAUUAAAUUCAAAAGGACAUGUUUUUGUUAAACAGGCG
rnacentral:rRNA from 1 species